UACAGAGGUCCCAAGCGUUGUUCGGAUUCACUGGGCGUAAAGGGUGCGUAGGUGGUCAGGCAAGUCAGGUGUGAAAUCUCCGGGCUCAACCCGGAAAUGGCAUUCGAAACUACCAUGCUAGAGGGUUUGAGGGGGGACUGGAAUACUUGGUGUAGCAGUGAAAUGCGUAGAUAUCAAGUGGAACACCAGUGGCGAAGGCGAGUCCCUGGAAAACUCCUGACACUGAGGCACGAAAGCUAGGGGAGCAAACAGG
rnacentral:rRNA from 1 species